UGGGGAAUAUUGGACAAUGGACCGAGAGUCUGAUCCAGCAAUUCUGUGUGCACGAUGAAGUUUUUCGGAAUGUAAAGUGCUUUCAGUUGGGAAGAAAGAAAUGACGGUACCAACAGAAGAAGUGACGGCUAAAUACGUGCCAGCAGCCGCGGUAAUACGUAUGUCACGAGCGUUAUCCGGAUUUAUUGGGCGUAAAGCGCGUCUAGGUGGUUAUGUAAGUCUGAGGUGAAAAUGCAGGGCUCCACCCUGUCUUGCGUUGGAAACUGUAGAACUAGAGUACGGGAGAGAGAAGCGGAACUACAAGUGUAGAGGUGGAAUUCGUAGAUAUUUGUAGGGAUGCCGAUGGGGAGGCCAGCUUACUGGACAGAUACUGACGCUAAAGCGCGAAAGCGUGGGUAGCAAACAGG
rnacentral:rRNA from 1 species